UGGGGAAUAUUGCACAAUGGGCGCAAGCCUGAUGCAGCCAUGCCGCGUGUAUGAAGAAGGCCUUCGGGUUGUAAAGUACUUUCAGCGAGAGGAAGGCGUUGUGGUUAAUAACCACAGCGACUGACGUUACCCGCAGAAGAAGCACCGGCUAACUCCGUGCCAGCAGCCGCGGUAAUACAGGGGGUGCAAGCGUUAAUCGGAAUUACUGGGCGUAAAGCGCACGCAGGCGGUCUGUCAAGUCGGAUGUGAAAUCCCCGGGCUCAACCUGGGAACUGGCAUUCGAAACUGGCAGGCUAGAGUCUUGUAGAGGGGGUAGAAUUCCAGGUGUAGCGGUGAAAUUGCGUAGAGAUCUGGAGGAAUACCGGUGGCGAAGGCGGCCCCCUGGACAAAGACUGACGCUCAGGUGCGAAAGCGUGGGAGCAAACA
rnacentral:rRNA from 1 species